UUCUAAGGCCUACAAAUCCUAAUGUGCCAGAUCCCAUCUGAUCUUGGAAGCUAUGCAGAGUCAGGCUUGGUUAGUACUUGGGAUGGGAGACUGCCAAAAGAUACAGUGGUACUCUAGACU
rnacentral:rRNA from 11 species